rnacentral:rRNA from 1 species
GACGAACGCUGGCGGCGUGCUUAACACAUGCAAGUCGAACGCUGAAGCUUGGUGCUUGCACUGGGUGGAUGAGUGGCGAACGGGUGAGUAAUACGUGAGUAACCUGCCCUUGACUCUGGGAUAAGCCUGGGAAACUGGGUCUAAUACUGGAUACGACAUGCCACUGCAUGGUGGUGUGUGGAAAGGGUUUUACUGGUUUUGGAUGGGCUCACGGCCUAUCAGCUUGUUGGUGGGGUAAUGGCCUACCAAGGCGACGACGGGUAGCCGGCCUGAGAGGGUGACCGGCCACACUGGGACUGAGACACGGCCCAGACUCCUACGGGAGGCAGCAGUGGGGAAUAUUGCACAAUGGGCGGAAGCCUGAUGCAGCGACGCCGCGUGAGGGAUAACGGCCUUCGGGUUGUAAACCUCUUUCAGCACGGAAGAAGCGAGAGUGACGGUACGUGCAGAAGAAGCGCCGGCUAACUACGUG